UCCUUUAGGUUUUAUUUGAGGUCAGACCUGCCCAAUGAGUUUUAAAUGGCCGCGGUAUACUGACCGUGCAAAGGUAGCAUAAUAAUUUGUUUUUUAAUUGAAAACUGGUAUGAAUGGUCAUACGAGAGAUUAGCUUUCUUUAUUUUAUAAUAUUGAAUUUUAUUUUUGUGUGAAAAAGCAUAAAUGUUAUUAUUAGACGAUAAGACCCUAUAAAACUUUAUUCUUUUAUUAUUAUUUAUACUUUGUAGUUGUAGGUUUAUAGUUUUACAAGAAUUUUACUGGGGCGGUAGGUAAAUUUGUCUAACUUUACUUUUUAUUAUUCAUAAAUUAAUGUUAUUUUUGAUCCAUUUUUUUGAUUAAAAGAUUAAGUUACUUUA
rnacentral:rRNA from 1 species